UUUGUCCUGUCUUAAUGAGUGAAUUUGGGUCUUCUGUCUUGUGUUUUUGUCCUAAGUGGUGUUACACGUGGUCAACAUGGUGACUGGAGGCUUGGUGCCCGCCCGCAGCAUGGGAUCGUGGGCGCUUGGCAUCCUGCCCUGACCAAGCUCAGCAAAUAGCGGAGGUUUCCUUUGUUCCGUGCUCACAGCAGGCCGCAGACAAGCCCAGAGUCGGGUCAUGCAGUGACUCUGUGGGGGUUGACCCAGGCCAGUAACAUCAGCUCCCUGGGUGGGAAGCUAUGGUGGCCGAGAAAGGCCCCGACUUUGUCUCCCUCUUCCGGGUGAAUCCAUCCUGGCCCAAGGGCUGUGCCACCUGCACCGAGAACAGGGACCCGAGCAGGGAAAGGCAGUUGAGCAGGGAAAGGCAGUUGCUGGUGGGCAGGCACCAAGUAACGGCAGGUACACACGCAGUGGCCUUAUCCAGGGAAUUUGGUUGCUGUCAAUCUAGAUGGGCCAGGACAGCUCGGUCAGUGACAGGGCAAAUGUGGCUGCCCACGUGUCUCAUCCUCCACUCCCGGCUGGCACAGCCUCAUUGCCUCUGGACAGAGCCUGGAGACCCCAGUUCGGCCAGAUAAGUUGGCUUUGGCCAGGUAUGACACUGGCUUUAUUACUCAUGUACUAGCGAGGAUAUUAAAGACAACGGUAGCAAGAGAACAUGAGUAAAUAAUAAUUUACAACCAGAAAAGAGAUAAUUCCAACGAUAAGCUAAAGUACAGCAUAUGGGUCGGAGUCAUCAUGUUCUCCUGAUACCUACCAAAAACAGGACACAUCCACCCUGGAUAGAAUUGGAUGGAAGAGAAUAAGAAGAGCUUGUAAGAUGAAGUUUAAAGAAUGAAAGAGCUGACAAAUGAAAGAAUUCGAAAAAUGAAGAGAGCUGAGCAAAAGCAAGGGGUUAAUUUAGGCUAAGUGAACACAUAGAAACAUGAUAGACGUGAGGCUAGAGCAUCACAUUUAAGAAAUUUGAUGUGGAAAAUGAAGAUAGGGGAGGCAGAGUCAAUGAAGUAUAUAGUCCAUGUCCCAGUUCCUACAAUCUGACUAAGAGUGAAGUCAACAUUUCUCUACUAUCUCAGGAUAUUGAAUGCUGCCUGCCUGUUGCCAUCGAGGAAGAGCAUUGUUUACUUCAUCCACCAAUUCAAAUGUGAUUGUCUUCCAGAAAUACCCUGUAUACCACAAGAACUGUUUCAGUAGCUACCCAGGUACCCUUUAAUUUACCCAUACAGACACAUAGUAAUAUAUACUUAAAUCCCCUCCAGGUUUUUUCUAAGAUUAAUUUAUUUUCUUUACACUGAAUUAUAUUCUAUUAUGUAAAAAGGCUGCAUUCUAUUUAUUCUCCUAGUGAAGGACAUAUUCUUGUUUGCAAUUUGAAUUAAGAAUAAAGCUGCUAUAAACAGCCAUGCACAAUUUUUUGUGUAAACAUAACUUUUCAAUUCUUUUUGUGUAAAUACUACAAAGUACAAUUAUUGAGGUAUAGAGCAAAGGGUGUGUUUAGUUUUACAAGAAACUGCCAAAUUGUCUUUCAAAAUAGAUGUGCCAUUUUUCACAUUUUUCAAUAAAGAAUUGUUUUAUUGUACAUUCUUAUAUAUAA